rnacentral:rRNA from 1 species
UAGGGAAUCUUCCACAAUGGACGAAAGUCUGAUGGAGCAACGCCGCGUGAGUGAUGAAGGGUUUCGGCUCGUAAAACUCUGUUGUUGGAGAAGAACAGGUGUGAGAGUAACUGUUCACAUCUUGACGGUAUCCAACCAGAAAGCCACGGCUAACUACGUGCCAGCAGCCGCGGUAAUACGUAGGUGGCAAGCGUUGUCCGGAUUUAUUGGGCGUAAAGCGAGCGCAGGCGGUUUCUUAGGUCUGAUGUGAAAGCCUUCGGCUUAACCGGAGAAGUGCAUCGGAAACCAGGAGACUUGAGUGCAGAAGAGGACAGUGGAACUCCAUGUGUAGCGGUGAAAUGCGUAGAUAUAUGGAAGAACACCAGUGGCGAAGGCGGCUGUCUGGUCUGUAACUGACGCUGAGGCUCGAAAGCAUGGGUAGCGAACAGGAUUAGAUACCCUGGUAGUCCAUGCCGUAAACGAUGAGUGCUAAGUGUUGGAGGGUUUCCGCCCUUCAGUGCUGCAGCUAACGCAUUAAGCACUCCGCCUGGGGGAGUACGACCGCAAGGUUGAA